rnacentral:rRNA from 1 species
AUUGAACGCUAGCGGGAUGCCUUACACAUGCAAGUCGAACGGAGUGGCGAACGGGUGAGUAAUGUAUCGGAACGUGCCCAGUAGCGGGGGAUAACUACGCGAAAGCGUAGCUAAUACCGCAUACUAUUGGCGCGGCCGAUAUCGGAUUCGCUAGUUGGGGGGGUAACGGCUCACCAAGGCGACGAUCCCUAGCUGGUUUGAGAGGACGACCAGCCACACUGGGACUGAGACACGGCCCAGACUCCUACGGGAGGCAGCAGUGGGGAAUGUUGGACAAUGGGGGAAACCCUGAGCCAGCAAUCCCGCGUGAGCGAUGAAGGCCUUCGGGUUGUAAAGCACUGUUGGCAGGAAAGCGGUACCUGAAGAGUAAGCACCGGCUAACUACGUGCCAGCAGCCGCGGUAAUAC